rnacentral:snoRNA from 1 species
CCCCUCUCAAGAUCGCACCUGGAGAGUUUCCAGGACUCUACCGGCCUCGGCUACGGGAGGGAGAGUCAAGCGGAGGCCUGUCCGUUCCAUUCCUAGCUUGACCGGUGGCUACCGAGUGGAAAGCCAUCCACUACAAGU